rnacentral:misc_RNA from 1 species
UCGUGGGCGUGCAUGCAGCAUGCUGCGGCGCCUCGGAGAUUAACCGGGCCAACCUCGUGCAGUCUAAGCGCGACGAGAAAAUAUCCUCGUCUAUAUGGGUUUAAAUGAAUAUUCUACUCGGUUUAACAUUUUUUGGAUUUUUUUUUUAUCACUAAUUCAUCUUCAUUUUCGUUUUUUACAUCUCGGUGCUCGCAAUAUUUUAUCCAUCUCACACCUGCCGUCUCAGGUCAAUCUUUUUUUUUUUCGUUGGUAUUAAUCUUCGAGAUAAAAUAUCAAGAAAUUACAUAAACAACGGACAACGCGUUUUAAUUUUGCGACACCUGAAACUGUAGCGGUAAAAACGCAAUCUGACCGCGCGAUUAAACCAGUGUAAUCUGAUGCCGGGUCUAGGAGUAGACUAUUCACGCGUCAAUCAGUCGAUUCACCCGAAAUUCAACGGAUGAAUCACGAUGUUGUCGCCCAUAUUGAGGCUCCUGGGCGUCCUGGGGGUCCUCCUAGUCCUCGACCCUUCGUUGCCCGCUUUCGGAAGCGUGCCUGACCCUGCGGAGUCCGAAAUGAUCGAGGUGAGCGAGGCCACAACUGCGAUCCCAAAGCAGACACUCCCAGACCGCUGUCUCGUCGGCACGGAGCCCGGGCCCUGCAAGUACUACAUUCACAAAUGGACCUUCAACAAGGCCAGGGGGAAGUGCAGGACCUUCGUGUACGGCGGUUGUCUCGGCAACGAGAACAGAUUCGACUCGGAAAUCGAAUGUCUUCACUACUGCGUCGGUGGUCCGGAUCACACUCUGCCACCCUACAUGGUCACCAAGGGCAGCGUCUUCGUCACCACCAGCACUUCGACCACCGCCGCGCCGUCGCCGACUACCAAGAAAAUCCCACCGCCAACUUUCUCACCACCGAAACCCACGAAGCCACCUGUUCCGAAGCACAAGAGAGGAAAGGAACUUACCUUCAUGGAAUCUGGUCACGAGAAGACGUUCAUGUUCGCCCAGAACAACACCUUCAUUCAGAUCGAUGGAAGCGGUAUCAAAACUUUUCAGCUAAGGCUGUGUCGUGAGAUAUCGUUCAAAUUUCGAACGAAAUUACCCCACGGCCUACUAGUCUAUCACAGUGUCAAGGACCGGCCGGAUAGUCUGGAUCCUUACGCGUUGUACGUGAUUGUUGAAAAGGGCCAGCUCAAGGUGGUCCAUGUGUUUGGAAAGAAGUCGACUAGCCUUACCGUUGGCGAAGGUCUCAACAGAGACGAGUGGCACAGUGUUUUAGUAAGGAUCGAUGUUCACGGGGCUAAACUCAUCGCCAGAGUCGAUGAGACGCAAGAGGAAACGAACCUCGAGGUCCUCGAAGCCGAAGUCAAUUACGGAGUCUCCGAAGAGUUGGCUUCCGUCGUACUGAUUGGAGGUUUGAGCUCGGAGGAAAAGCUUCACGGUGUGAAAUAUAUAAUUGAAUCGUUCGUUGGGUGCAUCAGAGACAUGGUAUUGAGUUCCGGCAAAUCGGCGAGCGAUUUGCUGCCCAUAAGACCUCUGAUCGCCACAAAACAUGAGAACGUCAAGGAGGGUUGUGUGGACAAGUGCAGAACACGGGAGAAUCUCUGCUUCGUUGGUAGUCAGUGUGUAAAUCACUAUAACAGCUUGACUUGCGACUGUUUCGGGACGAAAUACGAAGGGGAAAGAUGCGACGUUUACACUGCGACCAUUCUCACACUGAGAGGCUCGUCCUUCGUUUCUUUUCGAGUAUAUGACUGGAAGGAUCGGGUGCAUUCCUCCGUGAAUAGGAUUAGUCUCGCGUUCAAGACCAGAUGGGACGACUCGGCGUUGUUUUACGCGUCCGGAGAGAUUGAGGGAACCGCUCAUUACGUCGCGGCAUCGAUAAAGAACCGAUCAGUCAACAUCGAGCUGGAUUUCGGCCAUGAUUCAAAGAUACAAACAGUGAUGGGCGACGACGUGACGUCGAACCACUGGAACAAUUUGACCAUAUACCACAACGGACCUUUGGUAUUUGUAAGUCUUAACGACGAGUCGAAGGUGCUUGAAGUGCCCGGAGAGAAUUACAACAUGAUCAUUGAUCCCGAAAUUUACAUCGGAGGCGGACCUGAGCUCCACAAAAAAAAGGGACUCGUUUCUCACAAUAACUUUGCGGGCUCGUUCAAGUACGUUUUCUUCAACGACAAGUCCAUCAUAUACGAACUGAAACGGUCGAAUCCGAUGGUCCAUUACAUUGGGAUAUUGGAACCCGAGUAUUAUGAGGCUGACGUCGAGGUGAUACCGAUAACGUAUCCUUUCGCUGGAAGUCACAUUUGGUGGCCGAAUACUAAGUCUAACUCCUUGAAGUUGAAUUUCGAUUUCAAAAGCUCGAAGCCUCUGGCCGUCCUGGCGUCUAGUGAUACCAAGAACAUCGACGGAAUUGGCUACUGGGAGGUUCGUUUGGUGAACGAUGAAAUUCGUUUUGAGCUCGUUCCAGACGUGAAAAAUAAUGUCACCCACAUAACGUCGGUACAUUUUCCACCUCAUAAUACAUCUUGGCAUGCCGUUGAACUGAAUUACACCAAAGGAGAAUUGAGUUUACAAGUUGAUUACAGAAACAAAAAGAGCAAACUUUUUGCCAUGGCAUUUGAACUUGGUGACAGGGUUAUUAUCGGCAGUGGUAAAACUAACAUGGGAUUGGUCGGUUGCAUGAGGGAAAUCAGAGUGAACGAUCAUCGGAUAGAACCAAGGCACGUUGUCAACACUGAGAGAGUCGUUGGUGAGGUUGCGUUGGAUAAUUGUCAGUUCGUAGAUCCAUGCAAGAGGCCGAACAGGUGCGAACACGGUGGCAAAUGUUCCGUAGAAGUGGACAGAAUCACUUGCGACUGCAAAGAGACCGGUUACAGGGGGACAAACUGCCAUUUUGCCGAGUAUCGAAAAACUUGCGAGGAAUUAGCCCUUCUGGGAUACACCAAGGACGAUGUGUACCGAAUCGACAUCGACGGAAACGGUCGAUUUCCCCCGGCGCUUGUGAAGUGCGAAUUUCAGUCCAUUGAAGACUCGACGAAGACCAUCGUCGAGCAUAAUCUUCCCUCUCAAGUGGACGUCAGGUCUAUUGACCAAAAGGAAGACUUUUCGUACAGCAUUAAGUACCGGGAAUUCACAGCCGAAAUGCUACAGGAGUUGAUAUCUCACUCGUUGUACUGCAGUCAAUAUCUCAAAUACGAUUGUUACAAGGCGCCCGUUGAACUGCACAGUGCUACUUGGUUUCGGGGGUCCAAAGGCGUCACUGUCGACUACAUUGGCAAUGUUAGUCGCGGCUCUUGUCCUUGCGGAAUGAACAGAACAUGUGUUAAUCCCAAACUCAGUUGCAAUUGUGACGUUUCUGCCGGUAAAUGGCUUUCCGAUGAAGGUUACUACGAGACUCCUGAAUCGUUGGGAAUUACAGAAUUGGUGUUUCUCCAGCAAAGUGACUUGGACGUUGAUGCUCGGGGUAGAAUUACUCUGGGACCUUUGGAGUGCGUCGAAACAAACACACAGAAGUAUGUCGUUACCUUCACAACGUCACAGUCUUACAUCGAAGUACCAGGUUGGCGGAAAGGUGACAUAGCCUUCAGUUUUCGAACGACAGGCGAAAAGGCAAUCUUGCUCUAUCAGCCACCGAUAAGGAGCAACUAUCCGUCGUUCAUGGUCGCUUUGACAUCGGACUAUCUAUUGACAUUCAAUUUCACAUUGAAUACUGGACAGUGCCGUGAAAUCGAGGUUAAAAGCCGGAGAAAACUCAACAAUGGAGAAUGGCAAAAGAUUUGGAUUGAUUAUAACGACUAUCAUGUCAGGUUUAUGAUCAACACCGAUUCUGAAAUGGUCGAUUUACUGUCCGAGGAGGAGUUUGGACCUUUUGAAGGGUCCAUGUUUAUCGGUGGUGCGACCGCAGAACACCUCAAAACCUCUUCCGUACGACAGGGGCUUAUCGGAUGCUUUCGAGGUUUGGUUGUAAAUGGUGAAAUUUUAGACAUACACAGCUACAUGUCCGUUCAUCUUUCCGAAAUAAUCAAGGAUUGCAAGCCUUCCUGUCAACCGAACAAAUGUCAAAAUGGUGCCAGAUGCGUUGAACUUUGGAGCAACUUUGAAUGCGUUUGCAAAAACAAAUGGGCACACCUGGGAACCUAUUGCGAAACGAAUAUAAAUAACGCUGCACUGACGUUCACGUCACCGGAGGCUUUGGUGAAGAAAAAUUAUAUCGGUAACGAAGAUGACGAGGAGAAACUUCUGCUAAAGGGAAUGUUUCUGGAAAAUAUAUUGAUCAACAUUAGGACGUACGAUGCGAAUUCUUUAAUUCUGUACGCGAAUGAUCAUUUGAACAAUUUCUUGCACCUUUACAUUUCGAACGGGACCAGUAUCGUAUACCUUUUCAAUUCUGGUAAUGAAAUAAGAAACGUUACCGUCGAUUAUCCAGGUGCUAGUACCGGCGAUUCGGUGCAAAUAGCCAUUAUCAGAACCGAAAAGAACACGACUGUUCAUGUUAAUGAAGCCAACGUCACUCUCGACGCGGUUCCAAUUUUACUGAACUCGUACUCUAACAAGCCUUGGAUAAAUCCUGAGAAAGAGGUUCUCGCGCCCCAAAGACCGCCGGCUCCACCGACAAGCUAUUUUCAGGUGAACCUCGGCGGUUUUGAUCCUGACAACUUACUCAGAGUUGGUAAAAAAGGUGAGGCGAUCCAGGGAUAUGUUGGCUGUCUCCGGGGUCUGAGGAUCGGCGAGUAUUUGGUCCCCUUGCCUCAAUUGGCGAGCGAGGCUUACCAAGAAGGUAGCAAAGGCUUAAUAGCGAAUUGUCACAUGAAAUGCGACGCUGCACCCUGCAAGAAUCUCGGUAUAUGCACGGAGGAUUUCAGGAGACAGGAGUCGUCUUGUAAUUGUGAGCACACCUCGUAUUUUGGGGAGAAUUGUGCCGAAGAAAAGGGUGCCGAAUUCAGCGGUGAAAGCGUUGUUCAGAGGGAGUUUGACCUGGAUGGCGAAGUGAAUCAGGUAAAAAUACAAUUGGCGUUCUCCAGCAAUGAUUUGAGGCAAAGAACUAUGGCACUGUUGCUUCUGCAGACUGAAAACAAAAGAAGCUACUAUUUACUCGUUGCUUUAACAUCCGAGGGUCAUCUGAUAUUCGAAGAGGACAGAGAAGGCUCUGCCUACGCUGUUCGCAUCAACGACAGAAACUUUUUGAAUGGCGCAAGGCACAGUGUUUACUACGAGAGAAAUAAUAACACGACAACGCUGCUGAUCGACAGGGAGGCGGUUCCGUUGUCAAAUCCAGUUUUGAGUUUCGCCGCGGAGAAUGAGUCAAAUCUGGAUAAUCCUGGAGGAGCGAAUGAAAUACAAUUGGGCGGUUUGAACACCACAGAUCCCAGAUUCACCGCUUACAAGGGAUACACCGGUUGUCUUAGCAAUGUCGUUGUGUCGAUAAAUGGUGGCGCUGUUAUGAAACCACUCGAGGAAUACAUGCUGUUCACCAAAACUGGUAGCGAUACUGUCAGGGCCACAAUGCCAGCUGGUGUUCGAAGCGCUCAGUGCGCCGCUUUUCACGUACAACCCAGAGGUCUCGAACCCCCAAGGAACGAUAGCGUGGGUCGAGAUAAGGCUUGGGUCGAGGAACCUCCGGAUCGCGUUGUUUACAAAUCCCAACGCUCCGACGAAACGAAGAAGGAACAGGGCGCAGGGACUUACGUCUUUAUUGCGCUGUGCAUUAUCCUCGCUGCUGCGGUGAUGGGCUGUAUUUAUGGGGUUUGUAGAAGUGCCCAUAAAGACAGACAGAACAGGGCCAGAGACGCCGAGGAUAUUGCAACUAAUUCGCAAUCAAGGUGGCAAGGCGAUUCCUAUGAUGUUCCGGCCGUCCCUCCCACCUCGACAGCCGUAAAAACCGUCGGUUUUAAGACCGUCGAAACGGAGGAUGAGAAAAAAUUGAACGGUACACAUCACGCCAAGCCAUUGGCGACAAAGGAUUAUAAAACCAUACCAAAUGUCGAUACGAAAAUCGACUUGUUGCACGACAAGAAAACGCAUUUCAAAGCAGAUGAGGAACACGAAAAGAAAGAACUGCUCGGGGUAAAUACCGCCCUGGUCUUUAAAUCUCCGAAACCAAAUCCAUUCUCGAUGGAAGAUCUCAGGGAGGAACCGGAACUCGAAGAAUGCGAAGAGGAACAAGAAGAGGAAGACAACGAAGAGAUCAGCAGCACCGCCAGCAACAGUACCGAUAGAAGCAGAAACAGCGUUCCAGAUGAUGAUAUUCUAGUGCGACCAGCACCGAUCAGUCGUUGGUCGAGGAUGAAAAUUGAAGAAAAUGUGAUACCGUUAGACCCUAUUUCAAAUUCAGAAGCACCAAAAACGCCUUAUCAAUUCUAGCUACGGGGUGCAAUUGCUUUAAGUCACAUCACAGCUCAAAUGAUUCACGAGAAGGGAAAUUGUAGUCCAGAUCGAAAAUCAGAGGACCCUCACAAAGACCGAACGAAGCGACCAAUCGUCAACGUGUCACCGAUAUUUUUUUCCGAAACACAGAGGAUAUUUAGAAAUCCGGUGAGC